GCAUAUCAAUAAGCGGAGGAAAAGAAACCAACAGGGAUUGCCCCAGUAACGGCGAGUGAAGCGGCAACAGCUCAAAUUUGAAAUCUGGCCUUCUGGUCCGAAUUGUAAUUUGUAGAGGAUGACUUUGGUUAGGUACCUUUCGAGUUCCUUGGAACAGGACGCCUUAGAGGGUGAGAGCCCCGUACGAUUGGAUGCCGAGCCUUUGUAAGUCUCCUUCGACGAGUCGAGUAGUUUGGGAAUGCUGCUCUAAAUGGGAGGUAAAUUUCUUCUAAAGCUAAAUACCGGCCAGAGACCGAUAGCGCACAAGUAGAGUGAUCGAAAGAUGAAAAGCACUUUGAAAAGAGGGUUAAAUAGUACGUGAAAUUGUUGAAAGGGAAGGGUUUAUGACCAGACCUUUGCGUUGGGAAUCAUCCGGUGUUCUCACCGGUGCACUUCCCUUCGUUGAGGCCAGCAUCAGUUUUGGUUGGGGGAUAAAGACUUUAGGAAUGUGAUUCCUCCGGGAAUGUUAUAGCCUUUUGUGUAAUACCCUGACCGGGACUGAGGACCGCGCUUCGGCUAGGAUGCUGGCAUAAUGGUCAUCAGCCACCCGUCUUGAAACACGGACCAAGGAGUCGAACAUUUAUGCGAGUGUUUGGGUGUUAAACCCUCACGCGUAAUUAAAGUGAACGGAGGUGAGAGCCCUUACGGGUGCAUCAUCGACCGAUCCUGAUGUCUUCGGAUGGAUUUGAGUAAGAGCAUAACUGUUCGGACCCGAAAGAUGGUGAACUAUGCGUGGAUAGGGUGAAGCCAGAGGAAACUCUGGUGGAGGCUCGCAGCGGUUCUGACGUGCAAAUCGAUCGUCAAAUCUGCGCAUGGGGGCGAAAGACUAAUCGAACCAUCUAGUAGCUGGUUACCGCCGAAG
rnacentral:rRNA from 1 species